UUCCUCAUAGCUCAGUCGGUAGAGCAGGAGACUCAUAAUCUCAGGGUCCUCGAAUCGAGCCCCAUGUUGGGCUAAA